rnacentral:rRNA from 1 species
CCUACGGGUGGCAGCAGUGGGGGAUAUUGCACAAUGGGGGGAACCCUGAUGCAGCGACGCCGCGUGUGGGAAGACGGUCCUCUGGAUUGUAAACCACUGUCCCCAGGGACGAAAAUGACGGUACCGGGGGAGGAAGCGCCGGCUAACUACGUGCCAGCAGCCGCGGUAAGACGUUGGGAGCGAGCGUGGGCCGGAAUUACUGGGUGUAAAGGGAGCGUAGGCGGGGAUGCAAGGGGCGUGUCAAAUCUACCGGCGCACCGGGUAGUCGCACUCAAAACUGCAGCUCUUGAGUGACGUAGCGGCAGGCGGAAUUCCUAGUGUAGCGGUGAAAUGCGUAGAUAUUAGGAGGAACACCCGUGGCGCGGGCGGCCUGCUGGGCUUUGACUGACGCUGAGGCUCGCAAGUGUGGGGAGCAAACAGGAUUAGAUACCCUUGUAGUC